AUUGAACGCUGGCGGCAGGCCUAACACAUGCAAGUCGAGCGGAGCGGCGGACGGGUGAGUAAUGCCUAGGAAUCUGCCUGGUAGUGGGGGAUAACGUCCGGAAACGGGCGCUAAUACCGCAUACUAACAGAUGAGCCUAGGGCGGAUUGGCUAGUUGGUGGGGUAAAGGCCUACCAAGGCGACGAUCCGUAACUGGUCUGAGAGGAUGAUCAGUCACCCUGGAACUGAGCCACGGUCCAGACCCCUACGGGAGGCGGCAGUGGGGAUUAUUGGAAAAUGAGCGAAAGCCUGAUCAAGCCAUGCGGCGUGUGUGAAGAAGGUCUUCUGAUUUUAAAGCCCUUUAAGUUGGGAGCCGUUACCAACAGAAUAAGCACCGGCUAACUUCGUGCCAGCAGCCGCGGUAAUUC
rnacentral:rRNA from 1 species